AAAAGGCACUCAAAAAGAAAUUCCUUAGAAAAAUUAAAAAACCUCCAUCAACCUAAACCCUCAUCCGCGAAAAACCUCCAUCAGCGAAAACCUCCAUCCCAGUUUCAGACACAAUCGUCACCGCACGAAGCCGUCGGCGAACCCUUCCAAAACAGUGUUCGUGGCGAUUGAAUACCGGAAACAAUAUAUGAGUUUUAUCGAAUUUCCUUCACUCGAGCAGUCGAUCUUGCCUUGUGCUUCUAAAUUACUCAUGUCUAUAUUUGCUUGCUGGAGUGAAGUCGUAAAGCUGGAUUGUGGCAAAAGAUCUCAGAUGUAGUCGGUUCAUAUGGUCCUGAUCCAUCAAAUGAUCUCAGGUCAGUUGAUUCCCCUGCAGGGUUGACAAAUUUAGGGGCCACUUGUUACUCCAACAACAUACUCCAAUUCCUUUACAUGAAUAGGGCUUUUCGUGAGGGUAUCUUUUCGGUUGAACCGCAUGUCCUUGAGCAGCAGCCUGUAUUGGAUCAGUUAGCACGCCUUUUUGCACAGUUGCACGGAAGUAAGAUGGCUUUUAUUGACUCGGCACCUUUAGUAAAAGCUCUUGAGCUGGAUAAUGGUGUUCAGCAGGACAGCCAUGAGUUCCUCACUUUACAUUUGUCCCUGCUGGAACGAUGCCUAAGCCAUUCUGUGGUCUCUGAAGCAAAAACUAUUGUUCAAGACCUUUUUAGGGGAAGCAUGUCACAUGUUACCAGAUUUAGGCUCAAGCAUGUCAGAACCUAAUGGAUGAGACAGACAAGGAAUUUAAAAAGAUGUCUGAGAGGGUAAGUUGUUGAAGUUUGAGUCACUCUCUCUACUUAGUUUCUGCUCCUGCAUAUUAUGUGGUGCUUCAGUUGUUGGUCUACUUUCUGUUAGUAUUUGCUUCUGAAUUUUACUACAGGGAUUCAGUUUUGAUGUGCGGCUGUUGGUACUACAAUCUAGUUGUGAUUUCAAUUAGUACUAUUUGCUCGAGAUUUUUGAUGUCUAAUAAGACUAAUUAGGAUUUACGUGCUGUUGUGAAUUCAUAUAUGCUGUAGUGUUAAUUUUGUGUAUUUUCAACAUUAUAAUAUGUAAAAUUCUAUAUCUUUUAUCAUGUAAAAACACUGAAAAGUUCUGUUUGCAAUGCUAUGAACUGACUUACUGAAUAUUUGCAUAUGUGCAACAUACGUUUUUAUAUCAUUGUUUCAAGAUUGAUUACUUUGCACUGCAAUGUAUACACUUGCUCGGUUUCACCCUUUUGGAAGUAUUUGCAACCAAUUUUGCAACAUUCUCCCCAAUUCUUCCUCCAGAAGCUGUGAGAUUUGUUUCAACCAAUUCGACAUUGAUUCUGCUCUUAUAUGUUUGAGGUGAUUUUGUUGUGCAAUUUUUAAAUUAUCCAGGACAAUAGAGUUUUAAUUAAAAUAUGCCACCUUAGUGUGCAAGGGGUUGUUUGAAAUUACUAGAGCUAUCAAGGCCUUACACGACAAUACUUAAUGUGACCUGAAUAGAUCUGAUCUUGCGUUUGAUUUGCACCGAACCAUUGGCCUUGCAGGAUAAAAUUAACAUGCAUCUAGUCAAUUUGGUGCGAAAACCUGUUUUGUGCUGCUCACAGGUACCCUAACAAGCAUGAUUGUCAGUUUGAUUAUCAGGCUGCUGCUCAGAAUGCUAUAGCUAAAGCCAAUCCGAUUGUCAAGGCAACAUGAUGAUAAGUCAAUAGUUUCUCUUAUUGAUGUUUCUUGCGUUUAGUAUUGUUGCAUUCCUUCUCCUUCAUCCUUAUGUUUAUAAACUGUUGUUGAGUUACCACAGUUGACUCCUGCUGACUUUGUGUUUGCCUGCUAUUUUGUUUUCCUGGUUUUGGCUUUAAGUUCAAUCGAUUUCAAAUGUUUGAGAUUAACUGAGAUUAAGCAAAAAAAUGGUGGUUUCGCUGUGAUGAAACAUUACCUCUACCUAAGAAGGAAAGCCAAAGGAAUCUCUGGGAUUAAGAUCAGUGGGUUCCCCAUUGACACUGAUAGUUCAUUGACCUUCACAUAGAAUAUGAUGCACUACUUUAUCGUCUUUGCUCUUGUUAAUGAUCUGGAGAAUGGAACUCUCCUGCUUUUGAAGAGUUAUGCUACCUGUGCUAACUAUUGUUUCUGGUAUCUCGUAAAACUCUCUAAGCAAAGUCUUAACUUCUUCACUAGAAUUCAUAACCUCACCAAACUCUUUCCUUCUAACUGUUCUAUCUACUAUUGCUAGACAAACACUGGAUGUCUGAAUUUACACAGGACAUGUUUGUGAUCAUUAUCAAUAACAUCCAUGUAGGCUUCAUAUCUGUUAUAGGGAAAGACAAAGUUAGUUAGAAGGGGAGAGUCCUGUGCUUUUGAGAAACUUAUGCCAUGUUCUUUUCACAUAAUUCUUACAUGACUAAAUAAGUUUUACGGAUGUUUUCUCCUUCCCAGACAAUCUUUCUGCUUGCCGAUUAUCACUUGAUUUUCAUAGUUUCUGUUAACGUGUUGUUGUUCUUUGUAUAUAUAAUACAUUUAUAUACGAAGUACUUCACAUGUCAUAAUGGGUGUCAAUACGAGAUGCAUUUCUUCAUCGUAAAAUCAAUGCAGGCCAUAUAUUUCCUCUUCUAACUUUUAGUUUUGAGUUGGUCCGAAUGUAAUGCCAUUGUGCUCUAACUUUUGCUUGCUAAUCGACUUGUUUUUGUUCCAUAGUUUAUCGAAGUGAUCCAUUUUCUUGUACUGAUGACUUGCUCUAGUUUUAUCCGCCUAAUUGUCUUAUUGGUGGGUCAGUAAUACCAUUUUUUAGGUGAAAGGCUAGCAUAGAGAGAAUAUAGAUAGUGGCUUACAACUAUUAGAAGAAAAUGGAUAAGUAUAUUUCUUCUUCUAACUUAUUAGUUUUCCUCCCCACUGCAAGUUAUUUUCUCUCCUUUCUUGUACACGAUCUUUUUAUCCAAUAUUCUGUAAUUGAUGAGUAAAUAGUCUAUAUGCUGGAUAAACUAAGAGUGGACACUGACAUUUAUCUUUCAUUUUUAGGUAGUGGGGCUUCAGAUGAUGAAUCUGUUGGAUUUGGAAGAUAGGCCUCUGUAGGUCAGUCAGUAAAUCAGGGAGUAAGAGGAAGCUGAAAGAGGCUUCAGCAGAAAAAUAAAUAGUAACCGCUAGUACCUGCUGCACUUGUACAGUUACCGAUUCUAUGAUUUAAACUAAACUGUAUUCUUGCUUAUCGAAACUGGUUAUUGCUGCAGUAAAUCUUCUGCCGUAUGUGCUCCUGCUACUGAAUUUUGCUGCUGAAAUUCAGUGUUUGAAUCAAUAUAACCCUUCUUUAUAAUUCCGUAACAAGGGAGAAGAAGAAGAACAAAAGGGGUGGGGCCAUAAUUAAUGAAGUUACCUGCUACAAGGGGUUAUAAUUUACUAUUGUGGUUUAGUUAAGGUAGUAUUUAUUCAUUUUCUAAAUUGUUUAGUCUUAAAACAUUUUUCAGCCGAGUAUUUUAAGUAGUAAUUCCAUUAAUUCUUCUUGACAGCC